rnacentral:tRNA from 1 species
GUCUCGGUGGUCUAAAGGCUUAGGACGCUCGCACGGAAUGCAAGAGAUCUGGGUUCGACUCCCGGCCGAGGCA